GAUGAACGCUGGCGGCGUGCCUAAUACAUGCAAGUCGAGCGAACGGACGAGAAGCUUGCUUCUCUGAUGUUAGCGGCGGACGGGUGAGUAACACGUGGAUAGCCUACCUAUAAGACUGGGAUAACUUCGGGAAACCGGAGCUAAUACCGGAUAAUAUUUUGAACCGCAUGGUUCAAAAGUGAAAGACGGUCUUGCUGUCACUUAUAGAUGGAUCCGCGCUGCAUUAGCUAGUUGGUAAGGUAACGGCUUACCAAGGCAACGAUGCAUAGCCGACCUGAGAGGGUGAUCGGCCACACUGGAACUGAGGCACGGUCCAGACUCCUACGGGAGGCAGCAGUAGGGAAUCUUCCGCAAUGGGCGAAAGCCUGACGGAGCAACGCCGCGUGAGUGAUGAAGGUCUUCGGAUCGUAAAACUCUGUUAUUAGGGAAGAACAUAUGUGUAAGUAACUGUGCACAUCUUGACGGUACCUAAUCAGAAAGCCACGGCUAACUACGUG
rnacentral:rRNA from 1 species